GACGAACGCUGGCGGCGUGCUUAACACAUGCAAGUCGAACGGAAAGGCCCUGCUUUUGUGGGGUGCUCGAGUGGCGAACGGGUGAGUAACACGUGAGUAACCUGCCCUUUACUUUGGGAUAACUUCAGGAAACUGGGGCUAAUACCGGAUAGGAGCUCCUGCUGCAUGGUGGGGGUUGGAAAGUUUCGGCGGUUGGGGAUGGACUCGCGGCUUAUCAGCUUGUUGGUGGGGUAGUGGCUUACCAAGGCUUUGACGGGUAGCCGGCCUGAGAGGGUGACCGGCCACAUUGGGACUGAGAUACGGCCCAGACUCCUACGGGAGGAAGAAGUGGGGAAUAUUGCACAAUGGGCGGAAGCCUGAUGAAGAACCGCCGCGUGCGGGAUGACGGCCUUCGGGUUGUAACCCGCUUUCGCCGGUGACGAAGCGUGAGUGACGGUAAUGGGUAAAGAAGCACCGGCUAACUACGUG
rnacentral:rRNA from 1 species